rnacentral:rRNA from 1 species
UUGACCUCAAAUCAGGCGGGACUACCCGCUGAACUUAAGCAUAUCAAUAAGCGGAGGAAAAGAAACUAACAAGGAUUCCCCUAGUAACUGCGAGUGAAGCGGGAUGAGCUCAAAUUUAAAAUCUGGCGUCUUCGGCGUCCGAGUUGUAAUUUAGAGAAGUGUUUUCCGCGCCGGACCGUGUACAAGUCUCCUGGAACGGAGCGUCAUAGAGGGUGAGAAUCCCGUCUUUGACACGGACCCCCGGUGCUCUGUGAUACGCUCUCGAAGAGUCGAGUUGUUUGGGAAUGCAGCUCAAAAUGGGUGGUGAACUCCAUCUAAAGCUAAAUAUUGGCGAGAGACCGAUAGCGAACAAGUACCGUGAGGGAAAGAUGAAAAGCACUUUGGAAAGAGAGUGAAACAGUACGUGAAAUUGUUGAAAGGGAAACGCUUGAAGUCAGUCGCGUCCGCCAGGAUUCAGCCUCACGGUGUACUUUCUGGUGGACGGGCCAGCAUCACUUUCGAUCAUCGGACAAGGGCGAGAGGAAUGUGGCACCUCCGGGUGUGUUAUAGCCUCUUGUCGUAUACGGUGACCGGGAGUGAGGACCGCCUUUUGUAGGAUGCUGGC